CAUCACACAUCCUUAAUACUUUAACCAACGGGUCUUGGAUCUUUAGGACAUCAACAGUCUUUUUCCAAAACUCGCUGGAGUUAAUGACUUCCAUCACGUCUAAUCCAGCUAGUUUUCUUGCAUAUGUGGACCUUCUUCAUUUUCAAGAAGUCACAAUUUCUUUUAGUAGCAAAUCUAGUAAUCCCAGGUCACAAGAGUUCUCUUCCCUAUGUAUAUCUUUCUGUAUAAUCAAUCGUCUAUGUAUGAUUGUAUGUGAAAGAAAUUAUCUUUUUU
rnacentral:lncRNA from 1 species